CUCAUCGAGACCGGCGGAGGGACAGGCCCUUUGAUGCCGGGGCAACCACGCAACCGCAAGAUUGUGCAAGGUGCCAACUCCUGCGGAGAGCGCGUGGUGCGUUCACCGAGAGAUGAG
rnacentral:ncRNA from 1 species